UCCGCCGACAUCUCGCGAGAGGGGCGGCGCUGCUGGGGACCCGAGAGCAGCGGGCGGGCUCGACGUACCCUACCGCGGGGUGGUGCUCUGACUGCGGCAACCGUUGAAGGGCUGCCCCCAGGGAGGCAGCGAGGCGCCACCGGUCCCAUAAGCAUCUUCUCAAGUAUAUUCUACGCUAAGAGGAAUGACUGCACCAUUUUCCUGAGCUAUGACAUUCAGACCUGGUAGCAGUAAUUUCUCUACAGAACCCCCAAACCUGGCAAGAAUGGAUCAGAUUUUGACAGAUUAUGGCUUCAUCCACACCCAGAACUGAUGAGAUCAACAGAGAAAGUGUGCUGACCCCUGGAGUAAACUGUGAAACCAGACUGAACUGACACUGUUCCUUUAAUAACAAUCAAGCUAAACAUACACACAUAUCAGAAUGAUGAUAAUUGGCCUCCAUGGCCACUUCAGAUUACAUUUUAUGAGACUAUAAGCAGAAGAGCCUCCAAAUACUGAUAGAAAUUCCUUGGGUAUUCCCUCUGGCAAGUUUGGUUCUUAAAAUCUUUUUAGCUUAAUUUUUCUUCAUAUGUAUGAUUUUAUAACAAUGUAGAUAUGUGAUUAUUCAUACUAGCUAUUUUAGUUUAGGUCAUUUCUUUAGCUUUUUUCCCUUUUCCUUCAUAAUUUGUCUUUCUUGCCACUAUUUACCACAUACGAAUAUCCUUACAAAAUCAGUAUCUUUCUAGACUUUUUUCUGCAUGAUCACACAGCCUGAAAAGAAUAGUUCUGUUAACAUACAUAUACACACGCACACACACGUACACAUGCACUCUCCUUUUCUCCACACACACAAAGAACUCAUUUUUUUAACCAUUUGUUUUAUAAAAUAGCAUCAUAUUCAUCUGACCUUUUUCAACCAAAAGUACUUCUAAACUAAAUCCCUAUUUAUGUUGAUUAUUUAUCCUUUCUUUUCAAUUUGUGAAAGCUGUUAACACUCCUUUCUUCCCAGUGUUUUUCAACUUUCUGAUCUGUCUCUUGACUUGCCAUUUAGUAUCUUUUGCCAAAGAUACAUUCAUAUGUUAAAAUGUGUCUGUGAUUUCUUUUAUGACUUUUGGGUUCCUAGCUUAGUUUAAUAAGUCUUAACAUUUCCCUUGACUAUAUCAUAUAGUAUCCUAAAUUUUCUAAAUAAUGUUUAACUAAACUCAUAUUAGUUUGUGUGGUGUAAUAAGAUCAUGGGAUCCAGUUUUAUGUUACAUUCAAUAGAUAGUUAGCUGUGCUUGUAGCAUUUCUUAAAUAAUCCUGUCUUUAUAUAUGACCUUUUGUCACACACUGAAUUUUCAAAUUUAUACUGGAUUUAUUUCUGGAUUUUGUAUUGUGAAUACUAAACUGUUCAGAACUAUAUGCAGAGUACUGUUGUUUAGGCCCCUUUUGAAUCUUUUUGACAUACUGAUCACUGUUCUGCAUUUCAGUCACCUACCUAUUUCAAUCUUAAGAAAUGGUAACUCUGUGUCUUGUAGAAUCCCCCAAUACACCUAUCUGGCUUUACAUUUUAUGGUGUGUGUUAUACUACUAGCCCACCUAGGAGUUGUCUAAAUUUUUUCCCACUAUUCUU